rnacentral:pre_miRNA from 1 species
UAAAAGUUAACUCAUAUUUAGUUGGGACGUUUGCCUACGUUUGCCGCUAGGGGCGCUGUUCCAACGGCAUACAAAAUUGAGUUA